CCAAAAUGGCACCAGGGGACACUGGGAUGGACAAGUGACACCAAAAUGGCACCAGGAUGGCACCAGGUGACACCAGGAUGGCCCAGGACACGGACAGGUGACACCGAAAUGACACCAAGAUGGCACCAGGUGGGACCAGGAUGGCACUGAGAUGGACAGGUGACACUGGGAUGGCACCAGGUGACACCAAAUGGAACCAGGUGACACCAAAAUGGAGCCAAGAUGGCACCAGGGGACGCUGGGAUGGCCCAGGACAUGGCCAGGUGACACCGAAAUGACACCAAGAUGCCACCAAAAUGGCACCAGGGGACACUGGGAUGGCACCAGGUGGCACCAGGAUGGCACCGAGAUGGCACCAGGUGACGCCAAAUGGCACCAAGAUGGCACCAGGGGACACCAGGAUGGCACCAAAAUGGCAUCAGGGGACACUGGGGUGGACAGGUGGCACUGAAUGGCACUGAGAUGGACAGGUGACACCAAAAUGGCUCCAGGAUGGCACCAGGUGACAUCAGGGUGGCCCAGGACGUGGCCAGGCGACACCGAAAUGGCACCAAGAUGGCACCAAGAUGGACAGGUGACACUGGGAUGGCAGCAGGUGACACCAAAAUGGCAGCAGGUGACACCAGGAUGGCACCAGGAUGGCACCAGGACAGACAGGUGACACGAGAAUGGCACCAGGAUGGCACCAGGUGACACCAAAAUGGCACCAGGUGGCACCAGGACAUGGACAGGUGGCACCGGGAUGGCACCAGGGGACACCAGGUGACACCAGGACAGACUGUGGGCACACGGUGCUGUCCCCAAGGAGCCACCACAGUGACACUGAGAUGUCCCCAAGGAGCCACCACAGUGGCACGAUGCUGUCCUCAAGGGCCACCACAAGGACAACGUGUCCCCAGGGGCCACCACGGUGGCACUGAGAUGUCCCCAAGGAGCCAUCGAGGUGACAGUGGUGUCUCCAAAGGCCACCACGGUGACACUGGGAUGUCCCCAAGGAGCCGCCACCAGCACAACGUGUCCCCAAGGGCCACUGUGGUGACAGUGGUGUCCCCAAGGAGCCACCAUGGUGGCACUGAGGUGUCCCCAAGGAGCCACCACCAGGACAAUGCGGUGUCCCCAAAGGCCACCUCGGUGACAAUGUGGUGACAUCGCGGUGUCCCCAAGGGCCAUUGCUGUGACAAUCAAACAUCUCCAAGGAUCCCUGGAGGUGACACCGUGUCCCCAAGGGCCACCGUGGUGCUGACAGGGAUGUCCCCAAGGAACCAUGGUGGCACUGAGGUGUCCCCAAGGAGCCACCACCAGGACAAUGUGCUGUCCCCAGAGGUCACUGUGGAAGUGAGGUGUCCCCAAGGGCCACCACAGUGACAAUGAGGUGUCCCCAAGGGUCACCAUGGUGGCACUGAGAUGUCCCCAAGGAGCCACCUAAAGGAUAGCGUGUCCCCAAGGGCCACCACGGUGACAGUGGUGUCCCCAAGGAUCUGUAUAGGUGGCACCGUGUCUCCAAGGGCCACCAUGGUGACACUGGGAUGUCCCCAAGGUCAUUGUGGUGGCACUGAGGUGUCCCCAAGGCGCCACCACCAGGACAAUGUGGGGUCCCCAAGGGCCGCCAUGGUGACAGUGCCAUGGACGUCCCCAAGGAUCUGGGUUGGUGGCACCGUGUCCCCAAGGGUCACCACGGUGGCACUGAGAUGUCCCCAAGGAGCCACCACAAGGACAAUCUGUCCCCAAGGGCCACCAUGGUGACAAUAAAAUGUCCCCAAGGAGCCA
rnacentral:lncRNA from 1 species